UUGGGAUUUCGCGAGGAACACGUCGUUUGCUCCUAAUGGAAAAAAAGAAGAAAAAGAAAAUCAAACCAGAAACACCCGACGCUGCCUUCCUCUCAACUCUUCGGCGCCGACAAUCGCAUUCUCGACCUCCGCCGCCAUGGAUCAACGCACACAGAGAGUUUAAAUGACUUAAAGCAACUUAGUGUCCAUAAUAAUACAAAUGAUCCAGACAAAAUGGAUUUGAUGGAAGGAGAGGAAAAUGUGAAAUAUACUUUUUCAUCUCAUAUGGUUCACUUAUUCACACAUGAGAAGCAUAAAACCAAGAAGGAAGUCAAGGUGUUGAUACAUUUUUAUAUUAGGAAUAUCGGCUUGCAAAGUUUCUGCUUUCAUUUCUUGACUUUUCAGAGGAUCUUUAAUUGAUUAUUUCUCAUUUUUUUUUCUUAAUAGGCACAAAAAGCAAAACAUAAGGAAGAAAUUGAACAGUUGAUGGAAAAGUGGAUAAAAAUUUCUCUUCUUUAGUGCAAACUCAGGUUUUAUUGACAUUGACUGAAUCUAGCUAGAAGAAUUCCUUGAAGGCUCUUGUCAGCAAGGAUAUUCCUAAUGGACAUGUCAAAUUAGAUGGUGAAAAAAUGGACACUUUUUAGCAGGACAAACCUGAUUCUUAUGACAAACUUGUCGGAGAGCACUGGAGAUGCAUGCACAAACUUCAGACAAGACGAAGACAGAUGAAGAAAUUUUCCAAGAGGAUAGAGAACAACUAGAGCGAUUGGAGGUAAAGGAAACAGAGAAGAUAAAGUUGGACGAAGAAGGAACAGAGAAAUAUGGGUAGGCAAGAGCUUUUCUCCAAGAACAAUUGGGAACAGGCAGGAACAGAAGUAAAUGAAGUGGACAGCCAAAGAGACAAGAUGACAAGGUUGGAGUCUUCAGUUUUUGACUCUUUUAAACCUGGCUUUGAACUCGGAUUGGCGCGCUUGAUAGCAAUAGUCAAUCGAACCAUUUUCUAUGGGAAGUAACCAGGUCAUUGAACGGCCUUUUCCAGUGCAGUGUAAGCCUGAACCUUAUAGCUGUAGUUUAUUUUAGCGAGAGAUGCUGUGUCCUGUUCAUCAGAAAUUAGAUAAAUGUCAUCUCCUAAGUAGGCACGAGAAACAUUCGAAACAGAAUCAAGUGCAAGAGAGAUAUUGCCCCCUCCUAUGUUCACCCACUACAUUGUCUCUUAGGAUGCCGGAUGAGAGGAACUGGAACAAUUUCGAUCUCGUCAUAACGCAUUGGCACCUGGAACUGAAACAGGAAGAUUGAAAGAAAAUUUGAGGACAAAGAAUGCCUGCAUGAACCCCAAACUGAAACAAUUUUUACUUCCUUGAACUCAAAACUAUUCGUCAUUUUGAGAAUGCUAUAGAACAAUUUAGAUUGGAAGUAACCUGGUCCACUCAAAAUGGGCUGUAAUUGAAAUGGCAAAUGGGCUUGUGAAGUAAUCAAGGUUUUAAAACCUGACUUGGCUCGACUGGUUGGAUUGGUCCAAUUGGGAUCUAGUCACUUUGUUGGGUUUAGUCUCGUUGGUAUUUAAAACAUUUGGAUGUACAAUUCACUUUAUGUACAAUUAAAAUGUACGCUUGUGAAGUAACUCACUUUAUCCUCAAAUAAAGUUACUAAAUAUACACUUAAUUUAUUCUUCUUUAUAAUACACUUAAUUUA